UUCUGUAACAAACAUCUCCCGUCAUCCCACCAUCCGAUCUUCUAUUGUUUAGUUUCUCACUCCACAUCCAACCACAUCCAACGGCUGAUGCUGCUGUCUGUAGCUUACAGAGUCUGUAAGCUAGUCAAGUCCAUAUAUAUAUAUAUUAAUGAAGUGUAAAAACUUUCAAUGGACUCGGUAAUCUCACCAAAUGCUGGCCUGGCAUUGGUUUCUGAUAAAGUGGUGCAUUGAGUGGGCUCAGUGACUUCCAGCUAGAAAAUAUAGGAUUGAUCAGGCUCAGCCUCCCUCAGGUCAACAAUGAGGAAGAAAGAGAAUGGUUACUGUUUCAUUGCGUUGGGUUCAUAAUUGGAUAAACAUGUCAGCUUUUUAACUUGCCUUAUCACUGAUGUGGCCCAUCUCAGCUUGAACAGUUUUGUUUAUAAAUUAUUAAAAGUAUAAGAAGAAAAAAGGUGUUGUCAAGUUACGUUACAUUGUAACUCCAUCAACCUUGUAGUAGUUUCAAUUAGUUUCAAUGUCAUUGUUUGAUGAGCACUAAGACACAUAAUAUGAUUUUAUAAUUUUUAUAAAUAGCAACUGCAAAAUAACAAUUAGAAUUACGUUGAAUACCCAAAGGGCGAAGCUUAACUUGGGCAGUAGCUCGGUUCAUCUAAAGUCUCUCUUUUAAUAUAUUGAAACAUCAGUAAGUGAUUAAACAUGACUACUUAUUCUUUCCUCAAAAGUGAUAUCCUAUUUUCUUCUUUAUAAUUUUAUAUUAGAUGGCUCAAUUGUCUAAUUAUAAUAAAAUAUAAGAAAAUUAUGAGUCAUAUAUCCUUAAAUGAUACUUGUAUCAAACGUGUGUGAACACUUUUUAAGUGUUCACUCGUAUAUCUUAAGUUGACAAAAUAUUUCUGCCGUCCACUAAUCCGUUAACUUCCAUUAAAAAGUUAACAUAAUUGUGGUAAAUUGACUAUUUCGCCCUUGAAACUCAAAAUGAGGUAAAAAAGAUAAAUUUAUCCUUAAAAUUAAUGUAAAUUU
rnacentral:lncRNA from 1 species